rnacentral:rRNA from 1 species
AUGCAGACCAAGUGGAUCUUGGCCCUUGCCGCUGGGAGAGCUCCGUUUUUAGAUCUUUUUUCGAGUUUUCUUAGGGUUUGUGUCCUGUUCAGGAAGGCGAGACGGCAGCAGCUUUCUGAAGAUGGAAUAAAGGUCUCCCGCCUAGCCCCCGUUCCGGUGAUGCGUCUAGCAUCAUCGAUGGGCGUGUGGAGGUGUGUCUCCGGCGGAUCUAUCUUUUGUGGAUUUACUCGGAUCUGUUCGUUGUUCGUCUUCGUUCGUGUGUCUUCAGGUUGGAUCCUUUUGGUCUACACUUUUCAUCUGCGGCGGUUGCUGUUCUGGUGCGUUGCUUCUAUGGGGUCUUAG